UACGGAGGGUGCAAGCGUUAAUCGGAAUUACUGGGCGUAAAGCGUGCGCAGGCGGUUUGUUAAGUCUGUUGUGAAAUCCCCGAGCUCAACUUGGGAAUUGCAAUGGAUACUGGCAGGCUGGAGUAUGGUAGAGGAAGGUGGAAUUCCUGGUGUAGCGGUGAAAUGCGCAGAUAUCAGGAAGAACACCAAUGGCGAAAGCAGCUCUCUGGGACGGUACUGACGCUGAGACGCGAAAGCGUGGGGAGCGAACAGG
rnacentral:rRNA from 1 species